rnacentral:rRNA from 1 species
GCUAUAAUUGUCAGCUAAGUGGCGCACGGGUGAGUAAUGUAUAGAUAACCUGCCCUUAAGAAAGGAAUAACAGUUGGAAACGACUGCUAAUGCCCUAUAUGCCUUUAAUACAUAAGUAUGCAAGGGAAACGCUUUAGUGCUUAAGGAUGGGUCUGUAUGGUAUCAGCUUGUUGGUGAGGUAAUGGCUCACCAAGGCUAUGACGCCUAACUGGUUUGAGAGGAUGAUCAGUCACACUGGAACUGAGACACGGUCCAGACUCCUACGGGAGGCAGCAGUGGGGAAUAUUGCACAAUGGACGAAAGUCUGAUGCAGCAACGCCGCGUGGAGGAUGACACAUUUCGGUGCGUAAACUCCUUUUAUAUAGGAAGAUAAUGACGGUACUAUAUGAAUAAGCACCGGCUAACUCCGUGCCAGCAGCCGCGGUAAUACGGAGGGUGCAAGCGUUACUCGGAAUCACUGGGCGUAAAGAGCGUGUAGGCGGGUAUAUAAGUCAGAAGUGAAAUCCAAUAGCUCAACUAUUGAACUGCUUUUGAAACUGUAUACCUAGAAUGUGGGAGAGGUAGAUGGAAUUUCUGGUGUAGGGGUAAAAUCCGUAGAGAUCAGAAGGAAUACCGAUUGCGAAGGCGAUCUACUGGAACAUUAUUGACGCUGAGACGCGAAAGCGUGGGGAGCAAACAGGAUUAGAUACCCUGGUAGUCCACGCCCUAAACGAUGUACACUAGUUGUUGUGAGGCUCGACCUUGCAGUAAUGCAGUUAACACAUUAAGUGUACCGCCUGGGGAGUACGGUCGCAAGAUUAA